CAAACGGCUCUUUAGAGCCACACACACACACACACACACACAC
rfam:Gasterosteus aculeatus cont1.008707, whole genome shotgun sequence.